GCCGGGGUGGCCGAGUGGUUCAGGCGGUGGGCUGCAGACCCGCUCUACGUGGGUUCGAUUCCCACCCCCGGCUCCA
rnacentral:tRNA from 1 species